AUUUUUUUCCUCAAGUUGGUCCCUUUCUUUCUAAUUUAAUACAAGUAUUAUUACAUGCUUCCCUCUUUUUUAUACUAUUGUAAGAAGAAAUUAUAGGGAUGCAUUAUUCUAUUCUAUGGGACCAUGAAAUUGAAAAGUCACAACAAUACUCUUAAGGCACGAUUUUAUGGGAUUAAGGUAAGCUUCGUUUUGCACCUUCUUCGAAAAAGGUGUUCAUGGUAAUUUAUCUUAAUGAUGUCAGGCCAAUGACAUCACAAGACGAAAUACAACUCUCAAAUGUGCAAACCGAAUGAAUGUUUUAGAAAUUGAGUCUAGACUGGUUUUAUAAAACUAUUUGAUUUGAGUGAUUUAUUGAAGAAUGAAAUGGAAGAUGACAUAAUAAAUUAGACUCUAAUAUAUUUGAACAACGAUUAUUUGAUCAAAGAUUCAAGUCUUCCAAAAUCUUAGAAAAUCCAAAUAUAAAGGAUUACAUACGUUCACAAAUUUCUAGUUUUUAUAGUUCUUAUAUUGGAUAAUUAUUGACUUAAACGUCAGAGUGUUUGUAGGUAUUAGAGGUAUAUACGAGUUUGGUUGGAUCGAGUUUGAUCUAUGCCUUUAUCAAACCUGCUCAAAUUUUAAUAUGUUGUAUUUUUCGUCCAACCCGCAAUUUCAUUUUCAAAUCUGACCCAAACUUACGCGUUCAUUUGUA
rnacentral:lncRNA from 1 species